GCCUGUUAGUUCAGUUGGUCAGGACACUGCGCUAAUAACACAGAUGUCAAGGUUUCGAUUCCCUUUAGGACCA